AUGGCGGGCGCCCCUCCCCCAGCCUCGUUGCCGCCUUGCAGUUUGAUCUCAGACUGCUGUGUUAGCAAUCAGCGAGACUCCGUGGGCAUAGGAACCUCCGAGCCAGGUGCGGGAUGUAAUCUCGUGGUGCACCGUUUUUUAAGCCAGUCCGAAAAGCGCAAUAUUCGGGUGGGAGUGACCCAAUUUUCCAGGUGCGUCCGUCACCCCUUUCUUUGACUCGGAAAGGGAACUCCCUGACCCCUUGCGCUUCCCAAGUGAGGCAAUGCCUCUCCCUGCUUCGGCUCGCACACGGUGCGCGCACCCACUGACCUGUGCCCACUGUCUGGCACUCCCUAGUGAGAUGAACCCGGUACCUCAGAUGGAAAUGCAGAAAUCACCUGUCUUCUGCGUCACUCAAGCUGGGAGCUGUAGACCGGAGCUGUUCCUAUGCGGCCAUCUUGGCUCCUCCCCAGAAUAUGGCCUUUUUAAGAAUGCAGUGGAGGUGAUACUAUGGUCAUAAUGACCAGGGGCUGGGUCAGAAGAACUUCAGAUUGAGCCUCUUGAAACAUUUGCUCUUGGAAUUCUCCCUCUCAGGAAACUAACAGCCUGCUAUGAAGCCCAAGCCACAAAGAGAGGCCAAGGGGAAAUAAACAGAGUGUGAUUAUAUGCAAAACCUACAAGAAUGAGGACCUCCAAACUCAGUGUACAGAGUGAUUUUCUGCUGAAACAAUUGGAAAAUAAAAGAGACAUCAGUGUGUGAAUGACGACUUUCUGUUGCUGACUUGGAAGACAGAGGAAUUGGGUCAUGAGCCGAGGAAGGUGGGCAGCUUCUAAAAGGCGGAAAAGGUGAGUAAACUGAUUUUCCCCUAGAACCUCCAGAAAUGGAGACAACUUUGCCAAGACCUUGAUUUUACCCCAAUGAGACCCAUGUCAGACUUUUGUGCUAUAAAACUGUGAAAUAAUACAUUUGUGCUGUUUAAUUGCCAAGUUUGUGGUAAAUUAUUACAGCAGCAAUAAAACACUAACAAACCAUUACAAUAAACUAGAUGUGUUAUUGGAGAAGAAAUAGAAAGCAGGUCAGUGAAACAUAAGAUAAUUUAGAAAUAGAUCCCCAUUUAUAUAAACAUUGAGUGUUUGUCAAGGUGGCCAUUCUAUUCAAUGCAGAAGGGGAAAUGGGAAAUAGGUUAUUAAUUGAGGUGAUACAAGUUCUAUCUGGAAGAAAAUAAAACAGAAUCCUUAUCUUGGACAAUGAAUAAGGAAUAACUCCUCAUGGAUUUUAGCUUUUGUGGAA
rnacentral:lncRNA from 1 species